rnacentral:rRNA from 1 species
CCCCUAGAUGUUCUGGGCCGCACGCGCGCUACACUGAACAGUUCAACAAGUCUUAACCUUGGCCGAUAGGUCUGGGUAAUCUUUGAACGCUGUUCGUGAUUGGGAUAGACCUUUGCAAUUAUGGGUCUUCAACGAGGAAUUCCUAGUAAACGCAAGUCAUCAGCUUGCAUUGAUUACGUCCCUGCCCUUUGUACACACCGCCCGUCGCACCUGCCGAUUGAAUGGUCCGGUGAAAUCUCGGGACGGCGGCUUGGUCGCUUGCGUCCGACUGCUGAAACUUGAUUAAACCAUAUCAUUUAGAGGAAGGUGAANUCGUAACA